ACGCGCAUGCGGGAGGGGCAGCAGCCGGCCGGGCCUGGGAACGUGGCUGGUUGGAGGAGGUGGAUCACCGUUUCUGCGGUGGACGAUUUCGUCGGUGGUAGGCUGCUACCAUGAGGUUGAAUCAGAACACCUUGCUGCUGGGGAAGAAGGUGGUCCUUGUACCCUACACCUCGGAGCAUGUGCCCAGCAGGUACCACGAGUGGAUGAAAUCAGAGGAGCUGCAGCGUUUGACAGCCUCAGAGCCGCUGACCCUGGAGCAGGAGUAUGCCAUGCAGCGCAGCUGGCGGGAAGAUGCAGACAAGUGUACCUUCAUUGUGCUGGAUGCCGAGAAGUGGCAGGCCCAGCCAGGCACCACUGAAGAGAGCUGCAUGGUGGGAGAUGUGAACCUCUUCCUCACGGAUCUAGAAGACCCCACCUUGGGGGAGAUCGAGGUCAUGAUUGCAGGUUUGUUUCACCUAGCCCUGCCUUCCCCCGACUCCUGGCUCUCAGAUCUGCUGACUGAGCCUGCCGAGGCCGCAUAGGGUGGGCACUCACAGGGUUCACUGGGAGGCUCCAUGUGGUGA
rnacentral:sRNA from 1 species